GCGUUGGUGGUUUAGUGGUAAAAUUAGCCGUUGCCAAGAUAUUGCCCAAAGUGGUAAUUUCGCACGUCGUCUAGCCCCGGGUUCGAUUCCCGGCCGACGCA
rnacentral:tRNA from 1 species